AGAUAUCAACUUCCUCUCGUCAGGGGGCGCGUUGCGAACCCAAACAAAUUCUUUUGAUACUCGACUGCAACUUCAUAUUUUCCGAUUAUUCAGAUAUAGCCCAGUGCAGUCUAACAGACUGAGAGAUGCCAGAACCAAAUGCAUUAAAGGAAGUGCUACCCAAACAGGGUCUGCUGUACCAGGAGGACACACCCACAGUCGUCCUGUGUAAACCCAAGCUCCUCCCUCUCAAGUCUGUCACACUGGAGAAAAUGGAGAAAAUGCAAAAGGAAGCACAAGAGACAAUUAAACAACAGGAACUGGAGGAACAGGCCCAACAGUCAGACCUAUUAUAUGGGGGAUUCUAGACCUAAUGAUAGUGGGCAUUGGCUACUGUUAUAGACAUUAAAGAUUUGAGAUUUCGAAAAUCACAGAUGAAAGAGGAUGGAAUGAAUGAUUUGAAGAUUUCUGGAUAUUCUUAUCAUGUUCAUAUGCUGUGUUUGCUUGAUCAAGACUUAACAUCUUCGUUGGAAUGACUUGUAAUGAGGCAAAGUAGUAGCUGGUCUACUACUGGCCUAUAUCCUUGACAUCGUCUCAACACUGAUCUUACCAAAUUGUAUCUAGUUAUAUUCAAAAUACACUAGUAUAUAAUACAGACUUUCAUUUGACUUUGAUCUGAAAUAAAGGAAUACUAGAAAG